AUGGAUCAUGGAAACGCAGCCCAUAAUGUCACGUGUUGCUAUGGAAACCCAGAUGGACACCUGCUUCCUGAAUCCAGACGGCGGGAAGAGCUGAAGGAAGUCUGAGAGGAAUGGAGCGCGUCAGAAACACAGAUUAUCUCCUCAGAUACAGUCAGAUAUUCGGGAAUCUCCAUGACAACCGGUUUCCGAGUUUGCCGAUGGAUAGCGGAUCCAUGGAAACCGUCUGGAGAAACAGAGACAGAUAAGAGUGAAGCUGCUGUAAAGAGCCUGUCAUUGAGACAAAAUCUCCAGCUUGACCGUCACUGUAGAUGGACUGCUAAUUUUUAUACGUUUAUCUGCUGAAUUUCCAUCUCACCUCAUCAGCAUGAGAAGAUCGACACAACUGCCCUGAUGCUUCAGCGUGAGCAGAAACACAAGGCCAGAAUGUUGUUCUUUAUGUUUAAAUAUGGCAGCUAUAAUUAGCCGGGAAAUUAUUUUCCCCAAUGUAAUGGAGCUGAACUUGUCUUUAAUUACGCUUGAGUGAAAUCAUCAUCAACUGCUUGGAGGAAAAAUAAAAAGAGAGAUGAAAAGGAGAACAGAAUGAAAGACAGACGGAUGGAGAAGUAAAAGUUCAGACGAAGAUCGAUCGAAGGUCAUGGGUUCCAAUCCCAGGGAAUGCUGAACCCGACUUUAAAUGCAGUAUGUUCACUGAUGGACUGGAGUGCUGUGGAUUACUUGUGGAUUAUUGUGAUGUUUUUAUCAGCUGUUUGGACUCUCAUUCUGACGGCACCCAUUCACUGCAGAGCAUCCAUUGAUGAGACACUGAUGCAGUGCUACAUUUCUACAAACCUGACGAAGAAACAAACACAUCCUGAUCUUGGAUGGCCUGAGGUAAAUCUGAGCAUCGCAGGCAGAAGCUCCUGAUGGACGGACAAUAACACUGAUGCAUCGUUUCCAGGAAAGUCCUCCGUGAUAUCGACCCCUCCUGUGUCUCCUGUCUCGCUUUUGCACUUAUUAAAGACACAGUGAGAUGCAAUCAGAAUACAGAAUCAGGAUAGUGCGAAUGAUUCGCCGUCUGCUGGAAAAACAUCACGUGAUGCGUGUUUUCCUGAAACACAGACACACAGAUUCUCCCCGCGCCUCCCGCCGCCUUCUGAUUGGGCGGAAUCCCACCGCCGUAACCAUGGAGACCGCCCACAGAGCACCUGGAGUGGUGAUGCAGGCGUCUCUAAGACUCCUGAAGGACGGAGCAGUGAUAUUAAUAGAAAAAGGGAUGAGAAACUGGGGGAUAUUUGGGGAAGAUGAUGGCAGCUGCAACCCAGACACACACACACACACACACACGCACACACACACACACUAGAGCCACAGGUGUGCCACUGACUGAAUGCCAGUGGGAAUGGCUCUCAAUGUGACUUUGGAAACUCGUCACCAGCAGGGAUUUCACUGUCAAUCCGACUGUAACAGGAGACGUGGAGCACUAAAGUGUGUCGUCCCACAGGAAAAUGCUGAAUACUGCUCAGAGAGGCUAUCUUACAGCUCAGGAGACUCUCGCUGUAAUAAUGAGCUUUGUCUCAGAUAUUCCUUUUUAGAAAUAGAAGUAGAAACUAGAAUAUUUAUUUUCUGAAGGAAAAAUAAAAUCUAAAAAUCACCACAAUACUAGAGUGAAGAAGGUGGAUGGGUUAUUAUCAUUAAGUAAAACUAACAGCAUAAAAAGGUUAAUUGAAAUAGAAAGCUUUAAUUAAAAUAAAAUAAAAUAUCAAAAUUUAAAUGUAUUUUAUUGCAGCAAUAUUUCUCAUUUU
ensembl:lncRNA